rnacentral:lncRNA from 1 species
CAGGGUUUUUCUGUGUACCAGCCCUGACUAUGUUAGAGCCCCCUCUGUAGAUCAGGCUGGCCUCGAACUCACAGAAAUCUGCCUGCCUAUGCCUUCUGAGUACUGGGAUUAAAGGCAUGAGGCACCACCACCCUGCUAAAAUCUUGUCUUUCAAUGUAAAUUUUGUUUGAAUGGUCAAGAGAAUUUUAUUUGGAUAAAUGCUUUCCCUCUGGGUUUUCUUCCUUUUAAUUUGCUAGAACCACAAAAAGCAGCAAAUGUAAAUAAUAUAAAAUAUAUUUAGAAUGAUAAUAGAGAACAACUUCAGUUGAGCUCUUCAGGAUGCAGAGUGUAAUAAGUACUAAGGAAUGACUCUCAUAGUGGCAAUUUAUCUGUAGCCUUUAAUGUUGCUACCGGGGCAAAGAACUAAAGAUCAUCCCAGUUUUAUUUCUAUUUUAAUAGUGGUGCUAAAUAAAUAUCCGAAAUGCAGACUCACCCAUUAAGGUACAAGCCAUAUAUUUCCCAUAUCUGUGUCCAUUAAGUUUAUGCUGAACUGUCUCUCCUGCUUAUGCCAAUACUUGUACAAAGCCAGCACACCCUUGAAAGUCUAUUUGUAAAAAAUGCAGAACGAACUAAAUUCUGUGUUGUACCAUCAAAGCUGACUCUCCCAGCAUCUGUCCUCGUCUUUCUCUUGCGUGUUGUUUAAUUUAGAUCCUCCCUCCUGACUUUUUGUCAGACCAUUUCAGACUUCUCAUAGGUCACAAAUUCUGGCUCAUGAUUACAGUACACUUUCCUUGGCUUUUUCAAUUCCUAAAUCUCAUGUUCAGUCCUUGGUAGAGAUUUGCAUUUCCCACCUUUUAGUUGUACAAGAUAAAGACAAAGCCUAAUUUAAGACAGUUUUGUUUGCUCCUUAGUUUGCUUUUUGGAGUUUCCCACUGAUUGUUUUUCUGCUUGUCACCACCUGGCUUUAUAACAAAAUCCAAAUGUACAGACGUGUUAUUUAUGUUAGCAAUGAGCGUGGGAGUUGGUUUGUUUAGUGGAGGAAAUAGAGAAGAAGUGGAGGAGACGAAGCGCUCCAGUCUGCUGUGUUUCAGUUAGGACAGGUUCCCUAAAAAUUGAACAUUUUACUCCUUAGCUGCUCAAAAUCUAAAGUGCAUCUUCUUUAUGAUGAGGGGUGACUUGAUGAGGGUAGAACUUCCACGGACCUCUUCUGCAAUUCUCAAAGCAAAGCCUGCAGAGACCAAAGAAGGGCCGAGGGUUCUGAUGAAACUGAC